GAUGAACGCUGGCGGCGUGCCUAAUACAUGCAAGUCGAGCGAACAGACGAGGAGCUUGCUCCUCUGACGUUAGCGGCGGACGGGUGAGUAACACGUGGAUAACCUACCUAUAAGACUGGGAUAACUUCGGGAAACCGGAGCUAAUACCGGAUAAUAUAUUGAACCGCAUGGUUCAAUAGUGAAAGACGGUUUUGCUGUCACUUAUAGAUGGAUCCGCGCCGCAUUAGCUAGUUGGUAAGGUAACGGCUUACCAAGGCAACGAUGCGUAGCCGACCUGAGAGGGUGAUCGGCCACACUGGAACUGAGACACGGUCCAGACUCCUACGGGAGGCAGCAGUAGGGAAUCUUCCGCAAUGGGCGAAAGCCUGACGGAGCAACGCCGCGUGAGUGAUGAAGGUCUUCGGAUCGUAAAACUCUGUUAUUAGGGAAGAACAAAUGUGUAAGUAACGAUGCACGUCUGGACGGUACCUAAUCAGAAAGCCACGGCUAACUACGU
rnacentral:rRNA from 1 species